rnacentral:rRNA from 1 species
AGAGCGGCGGACGGGUGAGUAACGCGUGGGUAACCUGCCCUGUACACACGGAUAACAUACCGAAAGGUAUGCUAAUACGAGAUAAUAUGCUUUUAUCGCAUGGUAGAAGUAUCAAAGCUUUUGCGGUACAGGAUGGACCCGCGUCUGAUUAGCUAGUUGGUAAGGUAACGGCUUACCAAGGCGACGAUCAGUAGCCGACCUGAGAGGGUGAUCGGCCACAUUGGAACUGAGACACGGUCCAAACUCCUACGGGAGGCAGCAGUGGGGAAUAUUGCACAAUGGGCGAAAGCCUGAUGCAGCAACGCCGCGUGAGCGAUGAAGGCCUUCGGGUCGUAAAGCUCUGUCCUCAAGGAAGAUAAUGACGGUACUUGAGGAGGAAGCCCCGGCUAACUACGUGCCAGCAGCCGCGGUAAUACGUAGGGGGCUAGCGUUAUCCGGAAUUACUGGGCGUAAAGGGUGCGUAGGUGGUUUCUUAAGUCAGAGGUGAAAGGCUACGGCUCAACCGUAGUAAGCCUUUGAAACUGGGAAACUUGAGUGCAGGAGAGGAGAGUGGAAUUCCUAGUGUAGCGGUGAAAUGCGUAGAUAUUAGGAGGAACACCAGUUGCGAAGGCGGCUCUCUGGACUGUAACUGACACUGAGGCACGAAAGCGUGGGGAGCAAACAGGAUUAGAUACCCUGGUAGUCCACGCCGUAAACGAUGAGUACUAGCUGUCGGAGGUUACCCCCUUCGGUGGCGCAGCUAAC